AGUGAACGCUGGCGGUAGGCCUAACACAUGCAAGUCGAACGGCAGCACAGUAAGAGCUUGCUCUUACGGGUGGCGAGUGGCGGACGGGUGAGGAAUACAUCGGAAUCUACUUUUUCGUGGGGGUUAACGUAGGGAAACUUACGCUAAUACCGCAUACGACCUACGGGUGAAAGCAGGGGAUCUUCGGACCUUGCGCGUUUGAUUGAGCCGAUGUCGGAUUAGCUAGUUGGCGGGGUAAAGGCCCACCAAGGCGACGAUCCGUAGCUGGUCUGAGAGGAUGAUCAGCCACACUGGAACUGAGACACGGUCCAGACUCCUACGGGAGGCAGCAGUGGGGAAUAUUGGACAAUGGGCGCAAGCCUGAUCCAGCCAUACCGCGUGGGUGAAGAAGGCCUUCGGGUUGUAAAGCCCUUUUGUUGGGAAAGAAAAGCAGCAGGUUAAUACCCCGCUGUUCUGACGGUACCCAAAGAAUAAGCACCGGCUAACUUCGUG
rnacentral:rRNA from 1 species